UGAACAUUGGCUUGGUCCAGAAAGGCGGGACCUCGGUCCAGAAAGGCGGGACAACUUGAAGCCAAGACAGGAAGCAGGAAAGGGGCUUCCAGGUCACAGGUAGAAACAAAUGGUUGCAUCCUUUUGAGUUUCUGAUUAGCCUCUCCAAAGGAGGCAACAAGAGAUGCGUUUAUCUCACAUGUGGCGGUUCUUUAUUCUCAUAAAUGAUUUCAAAACAUUAUGCACUUGGGGGAUUUUAUAAUGAAAAAUCGCGGUGUCCUAUUAAAGCACAAAGAGGCAAAGCAGAAGCAGCAGACAGGACGUCAAAGAACCAGUGCAUGGCUGCGCCGGGCCCCGGGGCUUCCCACACGGGUUACUGUCAUCCUUCCGAAUCACUGGACUUGAAGCCCAGCAUGUUGCUGAGUUUUGCUCCAGAGACAAUUGCCAUUUGUUAUUUAAGUGACAAAGGUAACGCAUGCCGGCGGGAAGCAAUGCACAAAAUGUGAAGUUAUAUGCAGAUUCAGAAGAGAAGGCUUCAGGCAAGUUCCUUCUCCAGCCCCUGCUCCCAUCUCUCUCUUCCCUGUUUCUCUGGCCCUUGCUCUCAUCUCUCUCUGCCCUGCUUGGAGGCAUCCAGCCUUCUUCACCACAGGGAACAUGGAGCUCAAAAGAUAACACACACCUUAAUGCUGUUGACAGCUGCCCCAGUGGCAAAGGGACAUGUUUUCAUCACCUACACCUUGUUUGGCCAGUUAGAGGGCUGUGUUUCUCAGAGUCAGGAAGUCCUGGGCCAGGUGGAGGAAAGAAAUGGCGCAGCCACCUCUGGCCUCCUCCUGCUCCUCCUGGAUCUGGGAGAUGGCGCCCAGCCAAGCCCUCCAUGCCCUGCCCGUGAGUGGGAUGUCUGACUGCUCUCACCGUCUCUCCUUCUCCCCUUAACCCCAGGCCCAACCCCUCCGGGCUCACUGCUUGUGGUUUUUCUGCUUAGGAAUUGGUCCCUGGGUGUAGCCCAGGCUUGUAGGGCCCCGUCCUCCCCAGCCCUGCUCCCCACUGUUCAGGGGCAGCCCCCCCACUCCUCCCACCUGCCGUGGCUCUUUGCUGCACCCUCCCUGGCCCAGUCUUGGCAUUCGCCCUUAUCAGUUCUCCGUCUUCUUUGAAGCUGAGACAGAGUAUUGUCCCCCACUUGCUUGCAGAUGCUAAGAUGGAGUUUAGAGCACAGGAUAUUGAUCAGGGACCCAUGCCUGGGAAAGGGGCAGAGAGAGAAGCCCAGCAAGAUGCACCCUGGCCCAGCCUCGGCACCCCCAGGGAGCCCUGGGCUGUGGGGCCUGUUAGAGUUGCUGCAGGUGGGCGGGAAGGGCUGGGCAUUCAUACCCCCCACAGCUGGUCCCGGGUAAGGUGACCAUCUGCAGCUGAGGCAGCCUGAAGGAGGGACAGCUGGAGGUAUCUGAGGCUGCUCUCCCAAUGCUGGAGGGCAGGGCCUUCCCUGGAGGGAUCCGAAGGGGCAUUUCCAUGCCCAGCUCAUACAGGAAGCUUAUUGGAGCCUCACAUCUGGAAAGCACUACAGACCGCACCGCAGACCGCACGACAGACCGCACCGCAGACCGCUCUACAGACCGGCACAUGCGCAACCCUGCCCGGCUGCUCUCCCUCCCUGCCUGGCUGCUCUCCCUCCCUGCCCAGCUGCUUUCUCUCCCUGCUGUGACCAGGCCAUUUUGGUGCAUUAUCUGUGCUCAGCGCUUUCCUCCUCUAUUUGAUGACUUUUCCAGGCAGUGGGCCUGGGGGUGAAGUCCCCUUGACCUUUGGGCUCCACCCAGGCACCUGGAGCCCCUGGGCUCUUCCCCUGCAGGGAACUGUUAGCAUCCUGCACUUUGCCCUCCUCCCAUCCUGCCCACGGGAGAUGCAGCGUGAACUCCUAGUCCUCAAAAAGGCUUAAAAAUUGCUCUACAUUUUAUGUUUAACGUGUGGUUAUGUUAAAAAAUUCAUAACUAAUGACUUGAGGCUUUGUU
rnacentral:lncRNA from 1 species